CGCUCCAGGAGUACUACGACGCGGAGU
rnacentral:sRNA from 1 species